CUUUBCCAUGCGAGAAACCUAGACAAGGGUACUCUGAGAGUCCUUAAAAUCGGGCUGUCCAUCAGUUUAAAUAACUGGUGAAGAAAGGGCCGGGCAAGACCGGUGCCAGCCGCCGCGGUAAUACCGGCGGCUCGAGUGGUGGCCACUAUUACUGGGCUUAAAGCGUUCGUAGCUGGUUUGUUAAGUCUCUGGGGAAAUCUUCCGGCUUAACCGGAAGGCGUCUCAGAGAUACUGGCSAACUAGGGAWWGAMSGAGGUGAGAGGUACUUCAKGGGUAGGU
rnacentral:rRNA from 1 species